GGUUUUAUAAAUCAUAAAGUGAUAAAACCAUAUCUCAUAUAUGCAAAGGGGAGAAAGUAUGGGUAAAAUUGUAAAGUUUGUUUAUUUUAUGAUUAUCUUUAUCUCUCCAUUUGUUGUUGCAAACCAUGCAAGUAAGCCACUUUUUAUCCUUCAAAAGUUUUCUAAUUAGGUACAUUCUACAAAAUGUUUUAUCUCAUUUUUCUAACAUCAUUUAUUCAACAAUGACAGUAAGCGGAUUGCUCCCAAAACUUCCUUUUGGUUGUUGUACUUCUAAUCUUGAUUGUCCAAGGCAUAUGUGCACACAUCCUCAACAACCUUGGUGUAUCUUCUAUGGUAAUCGUAUUAUGUAUCGUGGAUCUAGGCUAGGUAUCUGUAAAUGUUCUUGAGUGUUGUGCUCGUAACAUUCUACUAGAAAAUGUAAAAAAUACAAAUUAUUGGGUUCUAAUACAAUUACUAUUUGUAUUUUUUACAUUUUCUAUUUUCACGAACCAUAUAGCUUUGGUUUUGUACUCUAGGAUGAUUGUAAUGCCAUUGUUUUUUAUUAAGAGUAUUUUGUACUAAAUAGCGUCGCUAAGUCAAUAUAAUUUGUGUCCGCGUGUGUGCACAUGUAUGUAUGGUUCCAUCUAUAUACAAUAUUUAAAUGGCCUACCAAUGUGUAUGUGGCAGAUCAUAAUGAACAUACCUAAACCGGGCGUCAUUGUGCGUGUUGAUGGGGGGGUUUGGGCCCCCGGAGUAUAUGACUCCGAUGAGAGGAAAGGAAAACGGAAUGAUCAAACGAUUCAUCAAUCAGAAGUUUCAUUAUUUGAAAGAAUUUUAAUGUUAACACUCACCCUCCAAAGAGGUGCAAUGCAAUACUUGAUUGAGCUUCAACAGGUACAUCAUCAUAUUGUGGAUGGAUUUUCAGAAACAAUGAGGCAACUCUCAUUUAUUGCGUUCUUGCAAGCUUAGGUGGAGUUACACCUUAUAUUGUAGAUAUUUUAGGGUUCUAAGAGCUAUUGAAAUUGCAUCAGAAAAGAAUAAGAGGACACUGUGGAUUGAAACGGACUCUUAAUUUGAAUAUUCUAGAAUUUAAUUUUGCUUCAUUGAUUCCUUGGAAUCUAAGAAACAAAUGGUUUAGUUGUAAAUUGUUGAUAUCCAAUAUAUCAAAAAUAGUCUAGAGAUGCAGUAAAGAAAGUCACGCUUUCCAGGCCUCCGAGUCUUCAUUGAUUGAAUUGCUUUGGUACGUGGUACUACUCUUUUUUUAAUUUGCUGAUUAUUAUUUCUUUGAUGUCGAUUUAAAGGAUGGGAUUUAUUGUACCAAAAAAAAAGGAUGGGAUUUAUUGUACCAAAAAAAAAGGAUGGGAUUUAUACUCAAUUAAAGUUUCCAGAUUUUCACAGGUAUAAAUUUUUUUUUUUUUGUUUUGAAGAGAAG
rnacentral:lncRNA from 1 species